ensembl:lncRNA
AAGCUUUUUCAGAUAGAUGCUGAUCUUUUUAUUCAUCAAAAAAUCCUGAAAAAAAAAAUAUUAAGCAGCACUGAUAAUAAAUCAGCAUAUCAGAAUGAUUUCUGAAGAAUCAUGUGACACUGAAGAAGCUGAAGUCAGCUUUGAUCACAGGAAUGAAACUCCUGUAAGAAACAUUAAAAAUCAUUCUGAUCCCAAACUUUUGACCGGUAGUGUAUAUAUAUAUAUAUGAUAUAUAAUUAUUUCCUGGAACACAUUAGACAUUAUUAUUAUUGUCCUGUUAUUAAUAUUUCAUUAUGGACUCUCCAGUACUCACUGCUAACUGAGUCCAAACAUAUAAUGUACAAGGCAUCCAAAAAAAAAUGAUUUGUAUAGAAAUAAAUGCACAUAAUAAUUAUAUUCAUAAAUGACAUCUCAUGUCAUCAGAGAUUAAUGCAGCAUUUUUAUGGCUUUUAGAAGAUGUCAACAGUACAGAUAUGCCAUACAAGACAGAUGAGCAUGACUCUAUGUGUGUGGAAUCUGGGAUUUAUUUAUCCAAACUAAGGAAGCAGGAUCUGCUGUAAGAUAAUAGCACAGCAAUAUUUAGGUGGUGCUUUAUAAACAACCUGAACUUAUAGAUAUGGUGCUGUAUGGUGUAUGGGUGGUUUAUGUGUUUAUAAACUUAUGCUUACAAGGUUGAUUAAAUGGUUUUGUUUCAGAAGAUCAAGGAAGAUUCAGUUAUACGACCCAUAGUCAUGAAAGUCUCUUUGUCUUUCCCUUUAGAAUUUCCUCAGCCAAUGAAGGGUGCCGCUAUUGGAGGUAUUAUUGGUGGUAUUCUUUGUGUGAUCAUCCUGGUAGCCUUAAUUGCAACUAUAUUGAUGGUCCGCAAAUGCAAGAGGAAAAACAAAGACGGUCCACCCACUCACAAACCUCCUCCUCCCAUGAAGACAUAUUCCUAUUCAGAGAGACCAAGCAUCGAUAAACCUGUGUCUGAUUCUCAGCUCAUGCACCAUGAGACAGAGAAAGAGGACGCAAUGAAAGAUCUCUCAGCAUACCAUGAUGACAAGGAUCAUUAUGAGCCUUCACGUUUCUCCUGGGAGGACAAACAGUCUCCUUACCAGGAUGACAGACACGAAGACAGAACGAUGGGAGAGGAAGACGGCUAUUACAUCACUUCCUCAGCCAGCAGAGGGAGCAGCUUCAUGUCACCAGCUGUGAUAGUGUAG